rnacentral:lncRNA from 1 species
AGCUUCUGAAAGCUAUCUGAAAAGAGGUUUUUUUCUGCUGGAAUGCUCUGAUUUCAUGGCUGAGGUUAGAGUGACUUUGUCAGACAUUGCUGUGGUGUGCUACAGGUUUGGAGAAACCAAUGGUACAGAAAACUGAGGCUUAGAAAUAUAAUGCUGUUGACUGGGUGUGAUGGCUCACACCUGUAAUCCCAAAGCGCUGGGAUUACAGGCGUGAGCCACUGCACCCAGCCGGGAGAGCUUUUAAGGAGG